GGGAUAUAGGACCGGUUGUCUGCCUUUUAAGCAGAGGGUCGGUGGUUCGAAACCACCCGCGCUCA
rnacentral:tRNA from 1 species